rnacentral:snRNA from 1 species
UCCGACUUUGUGAAAUGACUUGA